rnacentral:lncRNA from 1 species
UAGUCGUGUGACUCGUGCCGUGUCAUGACCGUCUACUUAAUCGUGUCGUGUCGUGCUCGUAUUUUAAUUGUGUCGUGUCCAUUUUUUAAUUAAAAGCACAAUUACAGUAGUUUUGUGCUCAAAAACAACACAUAAGAACUGCCCAAAUUUAUAAAUAUUUUGAUACCAAAAAAGCCUUUUCCAUGGAUAUCAUAAUUUGGGAAUGUAGGCUUAGUG